GGUUGACCUCGGAUCAGGUAGGGAUACCCGCUGAACUUAAGCAUAUCAAUAAGCGGAGGAAAAGAAACCAACAGGGAUUGCCUCAGUAACGGCGAGUGAAGCGGCAAGAGCUCAAAUUUGAAAGCUGGCCCCUUCGGGGUCCGCAUUGUAAUUUGCAGAGGAUGCUUCGGGUGCAGCCCCCGUCUAAGUUGCCCUGGAACGGGCCGUCAUAGAGGGUGAGAAUCCCGUCUGGGACGGGGUGUCUGCGUCCGUGUGAAGCUCCUUCGACGAGUCGAGUUGUUUGGGAAUGCAGCUCUAAAUGGGUGGUAAAUUUCAUCUAAAGCUAAAUACUGGCCGGAGACCGAUAGCGCACAAGUAGAGUGAUCGAAAGAUGAAAAGCACUUUGAAAAGAGAGUUAAACAGCACGUGAAAUUGUUGAAAGGGAAGCGUUUGCGACCAGACUCGCCCGCGGGGUUCAGCCGGCAUUCGUGCCGGUGUACUUCCCCGUGGGCGGGCCAGCGUCGGUUUGGGCGGCCGGUCAAAGGCCCUCGGAAUGUAUCACCCCUCGGGGUGUCUUAUAGCCGAGGGUGCAAUGCGGCCUGCCCGGACCGAGGAACGCGCUUCGGCUCGGACGCUGGCGUAAUGGUCGUAAAUGACC
rnacentral:rRNA from 1 species